rnacentral:lncRNA from 1 species
ACAGGAUUUUCAUUUUUGGGUGAACUAUCCCUUCAAAUAAUGACUCUCCUUAUCUUUUCCAGAGUCAUGUCUCCUAACAAGAGGAAGGCAUUUGGCCACAGUACAAACUCUGACUAUCUGUCAGCUUUUUUCCUUGUCGGUGGACUCCUUUCAUUCUGUUCUGAAGGACUAUCCAGACAUCAGGAAGGACCUGGAGACAUUUCAACUGGAUAAAGACAUUUUGUUAUGUUGAGAAAAUGGCUACACCUGCAUCAAGCCUCUCCUGCAGCUUCCUCAGCAUGCACUUUGCCAGCUUUGCUUUACUUGGAUCUUCCUCUUUAUUGGCAUAGAUUUCUGAAGCGGUUUUGGAAUCUUCUGUUCCAGCUGGUGGAUGUGGCCUUAAGUAUCCUCUUGUCAGAAAAUGAACUUUGUAAAGCAAACAAAGUGUGACGUGGUAACCACAUUGGAAUGGGAUUCCUCUGAGAAUACUGAUAGGCUGAUUUUAGACUGUUUGUAGGCCACCUUCUCGAGCUCCGCCUCUGCCCCCUCCUGGCCUCUGCUGCUGUACUACUUUCCAAAUGCCCACAAGAGGAUGCACAGCUCACAGCUCAGCAUAACCAGUCACAAUGUCAUGUUUUUAGGAUCUCUGCCGCUUGCUCCUCGAGUAGGUUUCUGCUUGUCUGCACCCCCAGGAUCUCUUUACAACUUCCUCUGAAGAAUCCAGAACAGCACCCACUGGUGGCCUUCAUUUCCCUGUAGACUAGAGGGCAUCUGACCAGGUCCUCGUUAUACAGUAGGUCAGUAGGUUCUAUCAGAGAAGCCUUGAUUAAAAACAGAAAAUAAAUGUAAUAUUUUGGCUAAUUUGUUCUUUUUUUCAACUACUAAUGUAGUACGCUGAGCUAAUUUUUACAUCAAAUAUGUCACAAAAGUCAGUAGAUCAUUCCCAAAAAUCAGCACAGAGGAUGUACAAAUUCUGUCUGGGCCUAGAAAAAAACCCACCAUACUUUACAUUUAAAUGUUUUUAUUUUUUGGGGGAAAAGGCCAAAUUUGCAAUUUCAUAAAAGGAUCCAAAGAAUGUAAAAUUGUUGCUCUGUUUAAAAAAAGUCAAAUGUUUAUAAAAGUCAUAUUUUAAAAAGAUGUUAAUAAAAUAUUCCUG